AUAAUGGGUCAGCGACUUAUAUUCUGUAGCAAGGUUAACCGAAUAGGGGAGCCGAAGGGAAACCGAGUCUUAACUGGGCGUUAAGUUGCAGGGUAUAGACCCGAAACCCGGUGAUCUAGCCAUGGGCAGGUUGAAGGUUGGGUAACACUAACUGGAGGACCGAACCGACUAAUGUUGAAAAAUUAGCGGAUGACUUGUGGCUGGGGGUGAAAGGCCAAUCAAACCGGGAGAUAGCUGGUUCUCCCCGAAAGCUAUUUAGGUAGCGCCUCGUGAAUUCAUCUCCGGGGGUAGAGCACUGUUUCGGCAAGGGGGUCAUCCCGACUUACCAACCCGAUGCAAACUGCGAAUACCGGAGAAUGUUAUCACGGGAGACACACGGCGGGUGCUAACGUCCGUCGUGAAGAGGGAAACAACCCAGACCGCCAGCUAAGGUCCCAAAGUCAUGGUUAAGUGGGAAACGAUGUGGGAAGGCCCAGACAGCCAGGAUGUUGGCUUAGAAGCAGCCAUCAUUUAAAGAAAGCGUAAUAGCUCACUGGUCGAGUCGGCCUGCGCGGAAGAUGUAACGGGGCUAAACCAUGCACCGAAGCUGCGGCAGCGACGCUUAUGCGUUGUUGGGUAGGGGAGCGUUCUGUAAGCCUGCGAAGGUGUGCUGUGAGGCAUGCUGGAGGUAUCAGAAGUGCGAAUGCUGACAUAAGUAACGAUAAAGCGGGUGAAAAGCCCGCUCGCCGGAAGACCAAGGGUUCCUGUCCAACGUUAAUCGGGGCAGGGUGAGUCGACCCCUAAGGCGAGGCCGAAAGGCGUAGUCGAUGGGAAACAGGUUAAUAUUCCUGUACUUGGUGUUACUGCGAAGGGGGGACGGAGAAGGCUAUGUUGGCCGGGCGACGGUUGUC
rnacentral:rRNA from 1 species